rnacentral:sRNA from 1 species
AUGUUGUGUGUGCUUCCCAGUGGCAUUUAUAUUUCUUUUGGCAUGCUGUGGCGUUUUUCAGGAUGCUUCCAUCCUAUUCCCAAUAGGUUCUUGGGAGGAGCUCAAUUUCUAUCUUGAUGUUCAAGUUGGAUCAUUGAAACUUGAAUCGUUACAUUUGAAAUGAUGGCCAAAGCUCAAGUCUCUGCCACAUCAAAUUCAACAACACUUUGCUUCUUUAACUGCUUUAUAUGUAUCAUAUAUCAUGGUGUGCAAGUCCAUAGCUCUCCGAGAUUACUUGUAUUCCAGUUUUAUGUACAAACAGCUCAAACUUAAGCAUUGAAAUUAAUCCAUUUAAAACUGGAGAAACUACUAAACAUGGACGUAGCCCAGCUUGCACGUAUGGAAGGUUCGCACAAUGUCCUAUGAGCUUAGUACUGUCUUUAAUGAAAGAAAGAAAAUUAAGAAAUUCUGGAUGCUUUAUUGGGGAUGAGAGUCUGUAGAAUCGGCUCCAGUAUAUAAGAGAUAACUCGCCUUCUGGAAUGAUGCCCAAUCAAGGGUUUAGUGACUUUGACGAACUGCAACGUGGAAGCCCUAGCCCUAAUUGUUCAGACAUAAUGCCAAAUUAUAGAGGGUCAGACCUCGGCGAAUGGCCUCAUGAUGUAAGUGUUGGCAAUUAUGUACUUCCUAAUGGAACACCCUUAUUUUGCACAUCCGCUCUUCCAUUUUAGUUUUUAUAUAUAGCACGGUAGUUUAUUGAUUAUUUUUCUUGCUGUCCCCUGCCUGAUUUAAUUUAAAUACAAAAGCCUAAAUGAGUUUGCUGCUAGAUUUGCAUGUUUGUUGUGCAAACCUCCGUAACUGGUAUGAAAUAAUGUCAGUCUGAAAAAUUAGUGGACAGAGCUGCUGACGGAGCACCGAAAGCUCAGGCCUUUCACGCAGGUCGUUCCCAUAUGCGGCUGCCUCUUGAAUCAAGAGAUAAUUCGCGUCUCUGGAAUGAUGCCCAACCAAGGGUUUAGUGACUUUGACACGCUGCAACGUGGAGCCCUAGCCCUAUUGGCUCAGAC